rnacentral:rRNA from 1 species
AGAGUUUGAUCAUGGCUCAGAUUGAACGCUGGCGGAAUGCUUUACACAUGCAAGUCGAGCGGCAGCGCGGGGCAACCUGGCGGCGAGCGGCGAACGGGUGAGUAAUGCAUCGGAACAUGUCCAUUCGUGGGGGAUAGCCCGGCGAAAGCCGGAUUAAUACCGCAUACGCCCUGAGGGGGAAAGCGGGGGACUCGCAAGAGCCUCGCGCGAAUGGGUUGGCCGAUGUCCGAUUAGCUAGUUGGUGGGGUAAAGGCUUACCAAGGCGAUGAUCGGUAGCUGGUCUGAGAGGAUGAUCAGCCACAUUGGGACUGAGACACGGUCCAGACUCCUACGGGAGGCAGCAGUCGGGAAUUUUGGGCAAUGGGCGAAAGCCUGACCCAGCAACGCCGCGUGAGGGAUGAAGGCCUUCGGGUCGUAAACCUCUGUCGGGAGGGACGAAAGGUAGACGGGUGAAUAACCCGGGUGCUUGACGGUACCUCCAAAGGAAGCGCCGGCUAACUCCGUGCCAGCAGCCGCGGUAAUUC